UUAGUUCAUAGAUCCUACAAUUAAAAUGUCUUAGAAUGUAACAGAAAUUAAUGUAAAAUAAAAAGUACUCUAACAAUUAAAGAAAAAAUUGGUAAACAAUAAUGGUGAUUAAUACUGGGCUAAAAAUUACGGAAAUUAAUAUUGUCCUUAUGAGUAGUUAUGGUUACCUGUUCUUAAGAUGGGAUUAUAAUGAUGAUAAAAAAAAUUAUAAGUAACAUGUGUUGGUUGAUGUGUUUAGACCAUGGUGGUAAUCGAAGAAUUAUCUACUGCUAUUAAAUUAUCUAAUUAUCUAAUUAUCUAUGCUUCUUGUUAGAUGAUGACGCCGCAGCAGUUGGUACGGUGGAGGUGGGCCCCAGAACUGAGAUGCAGCCGGGUAGUAGUGGUGGAAGAGGGGCAACAGGCGGCAGGAAUCAUCAAGUCCAAUAUUCGGGGCCGGUGUCUUCGGAGGAGGAGAACGACUUGGAGGCGUUGUUUGUUAAGGUGAAACGUGUCCGGAAGGAGAAGAAGUCUUCCACUGGUGCAGGUGAGGAGACCGAGAGGAGCGCCAACCAGGCCGGUGGGAGCGGGAGGGUGAUGGCGG